ACACGCUACGAGUACGCUAUAUAUCUUUCCACUAUAGCGGCCAGCACUUGGCGAAACCGUGGGGGAUCCGGCAGUCUCCUCUGGUACACCGAGCUGUGUGUUACCGUUCCUCGCUUGUUGUAUCACGUUCUCGCCGUAAUCAGCGUCGACGCGCGUCCGAUCUGACAGACCUGUAGUCGCGGCGGCACGUCGUCGUCUACACACGCGCGCACUCUGUAUACAUAUAUAUAUACACACACAAAACUUACGUAUAUGUGUAUAUAUACGUAGAGGCAGAGAAAGAGAGGGAGAGAUAUACACAGGUGACCCAGCAACAUACACGCACACGCAAACGUAUACGAAGUCCGUGCACACAUCAUCCGCAGGCACACGCACCUUUGCGCGCACACGGACCACCGACCAACAGAAGAUCAUAAAGGAAGGAUAUAAGGAGGAAAAAUCCGACGCGGGUGUUCGAGCAGUGCGAAGACCAAGGCAAUCGCUUGUCACGUUUAAUCGGACACGCGCGAUCGCGGCUCAUAAGUGAAAAAGGAUACGGGACGCACUGGAGAGAUACACGGUGUGGCCAGGUGCAAACGGUCCUUCCGGUUAGUCGUCCGUACCUCGGCCUCCAUCAUCGAGGAGUAACACGUGCAGAUGUUUGGUCCGUAGAGACGAAGAAAUGGCGGAAGGUUGUUCCUUGAAAAUGCAGAAUUCUUCUCGGGGCAUUAGUAACCGUGGCAACCACUUAAUUUCCGUAAUUUUCUGUUUAUUACUCGCUGAGUUAUUGCGUUAUCAAAGCAGGAGAAUACGGCACGCUAUUUUUGACAUGUCCACGUGCAGCAUUUAAAUGCUUGCCUUGUUUUGGAAGCUCGGUCGUUUCAAGCACUCUGAUCAUGAUACGAGUUGUAAAAGAUAGUAUGAAAUUUGAUUAAAUUGAAGUAGAUAUCUAUAUAUAUACGUUUAAAUGUGGUGUGCGUAUAAUUUAUGUAACAUGUAAUGGUCAAGAUAAAGAUAACGAUGAUGGUAAUUUUGUAAGAGACAGAUUAAUUAAGUUAAAAAUUAUGGAUCCUCAGAAGAGAUUAAAUUUAUCAAAAAAUAUAUGCUCGAAUACCUUUUUUAUAAAUUUAUAGAUACCUAUUACUUGGACAUAUAGCAAUAAAAAUUCGUCAGUUAUUAAUAUACACAAAUAUUUUUCUCCGUAGAAUUAAUUAUCGAUAAAUAUCAAUUAACAUUCAAUAUCACUGACAAAACGAGCGAUUUAGUAACUAAAAUUCCCAUAUAAUCAUUAAUAUCGUCAUAUAAAUAUCAUAAGAUUCAUAUAAAUAUGUAUAAAAUGUAUUGAAUAAGAAUUUUUACCUCUUAAUACCUCAAAAUUGAAAAAAUAAAUUUCCAUCAAAAUCAAUUAGAGGUUUCAAACAUCUCGUAAAUCAUAGCGGACGCACAAUGCCGCGAAAUUAAUUAAUAACCACUAGCAAUUAAUUACCUGUACCGAAUAAAACAGAAGAAAGUUGGCGGCGGUUGGUGGGUCUCGAACAAAAGGGAGGCGUCGCGACGUCGUCGUUAAUCGUCUUCGGGAUAAUUACGCGAUUCAACCAUUGGAUUUUUGCGCGGAAACGCCGCGCUGCCCGAAAGCUCGUUGUUGCCGCAGCGUGAUUUCAAUUCGCCGCCGAGCCUCUUUGCUCUUCUAUAUUUUUUUUAUUUCUCUCUCUCUCUCUCUCUCUCUCUCUCUCUCUGUCUAUCGCCACGAGCUCGAGCUUUUGUACAGUUCUCGCUGCCUGAUUUUUGCAUACCAAAAGCCACGGAAUGUCGCUGCACGAACGUUUGAACCCGCCUCGACCAAUUACGUUCCGUGAAUUACAUCGCGACGCAUCGCUUACAGAAAUGUCGUUUUUGAUUUUCGCGACGAUGUCUCGUGAUUCUGAAACGAAUCCACCAGCCAUGUUACACAGGUUAGCGUUUUAGAGUUUUAGGGGCUUUAGAUUCUGUGUGUAAUCGCAGACGAAUUGUUUGAUAAGAGGAUUUUGUGACAAAUGAGAGAUCUAUUUUUCUUCUCUUAAAUGCU